rnacentral:rRNA from 1 species
AGCGUAGACGGAUGGACAAGUCUGAUGUGAAAGGCAUGGGCUCAACCUGUGGACUGCAUUGGAAACUGUCAUACUUGAGUGCCGGAGGGGUAAGCGGAAUUCCUAGUGUAGCGGUGAAAUGCGUAGAUAUUAGGAGGAACACCAGUGGCGAAGGCAGGUCACUGGGCCGUUACUGACGCUGAGGAGCGAAAGCAUGGGGAGCGAACA